rnacentral:rRNA from 1 species
UACGAAGGGGGCUAGCGUUGCUCGGAAUCACUGGGCGUAAAGGGUGCGUAGGCGGGUCUUUAAGUCAGGGGUGAAAUCCUGGAGCUCAACUCCAGAACUGCCUUUGAUACUGAGGAUCUUGAGUAUGGGAGAGGUGAGUGGAACUGCGAGUGUAGAGGUGAAAUUCGUAGAUAUUCGCAAGAACACCAGUGGCGAAGGCGGCUCACUGGCCCAUUACUGACGCUGAGGCGCGAAAGCGUGGGGAGCAAACAGG